rnacentral:rRNA from 1 species
UGCUAUUGGGAUUCGACUAAGCCAUGCGAGUCGCGAGGGUUCGGCCCUCGGCUGACGGCUCAGUAACACGCGGAUAAUCUGCCCUUAGGUGGAGGAUAACCUCGGGAAACUGAGAAUAAGACUCCAUAGAUCUAGGAGGCUGGAAUGCACUUAGAUCAAAAACUUCGGUGCCUAAGGAUGAGUCUGCGGACUAUCAGGUAGUAGUCAGGGUAAUGACCUGACCAGCCUAUGACGGAUACGGGUUGUGAGAGCAAUAACCCGGAGAUGAUAUCUGAGACACGAUAUCAGGCCCUACGGAGCGCAGCAGGCGCGAAAACUUCACACUGUGCGAAAGCACGAUGAGGGAAUCCCAAGUGCUGGCUCGUAAGAGUCAGCUGUUUUUCUGUCUAGAAAACAGAGAGAGUAAGAGCUGGGUAAGACGGGUGCCAGCCGCCGCGGUAAUACCUGCAGCUCAAGUGGUGGCCGCUAUUAUUGGGCCUAAAACGUUCGUAGCCGGUCUAGUAAAUGCCUGGGUAAAUCAUACGGCUUAACCGUACGAAUUCCGGGUAGACUGCUGGACUUGGGACUGGGAGAGGCUAGAGGUACUCCUGGGGUAGAGGUGAAAUUCUGUAAUCCUAGGGGGACGACCAGUGGCGAAGGCGUCUAGCUAGAACAGGUCUGACGGUGAGGAACGAAGCCCUGGGGCGCAAACGGGAUUAGAUACCCCGGUAGUCCAGGGUGUAAACGCUGCUUGCUUGAUGUUAGUCGGGCUCCGAGCCCGAUUAGUGUCGGAGAGAAGUUGUUAAGCAAGCUGCCUGGGGAGUACGGCCGCAAGACUGAAACUUAAAGGAAUUGGCGGGGGAGCACCGCAACGGGUGGAGCGUGCGGUUUAAUUGGAUCAACGCCGGAA